rnacentral:rRNA from 1 species
AGUGAACGCUGGCGGUAGGCCUAACACAUGCAAGUCGAACGGCAGCACAGUAAGAGCUUGCUCUUACGGGUGGCGAGUGGCGGACGGGUGAGGAAUACAUCGGAAUCUACUUUUUCGUGGGGGAUAACGUAGGGAAACUUACGCUAAUACCGCAUACGACCUACGGGUGAAAGCAGGGGAUCUUCGGACCUUGCGCGAUUGAAUGAGCCGAUGUCGGAUUAGCUAGUUGGGGGGGUAAAGGCCCACCAAGGCGACGAUCCGUAGCUGGUCUGAGAGGAUGAUCAGCCACACUGGAACUGAGACACGGUCCAGACUCCUAAGGGAGGCAGCAGAGGGGAAUAUUGGACAAUGGGCGCAAGCAUGAUCCAGCCAUACCGCGUGGGUGAAGAAGGCCUUCGGGUUGUAAAGCCCUUUUGUUGGGAAAGAAAAGCAGCAGGUUAAUACCCCGCUGUUCUGACGGUACCCAAAGAAUAAGCACCGGCUAACUUCGUG